GUAACACGUGUGCAACCAACCCCGUACAGGGAGAUAACCCGCGGAAACGUGGACUAACACCCAAUAAUACCUUUCCCCCGCAUGGGGGGGAGUUUAAAACCCCGGUGGUACGGGACGGGCACGCGCGACAUUAGGUAGUUGGCGGGGUAACGGCCCACCAAGCCGACGAUGUCUAGGGGUUCUGAGAGGAAGGUCCCCCACACUGGAACUGAGACACGGUCCAGACUCCUACGGGAGGCAGCAGUGAGGAAUAUUGGUCAAUGGGCGAGAGCCUGAACCAGCCAAGUCGCGUGAGGGAAGAAUGGUCUAUGGCCUGUAAACCUCUUUUGUCAAGGAAGAACAUGUAGUACGUGUACUACCCUGCCAGUACUUGACGAAUAAGCAUCGGCUAACUCCGUGCCAGCAGCCGCGGUAAUACGGGGGAUGCGAGCGUUAUCCGGAUUUAUUGGGUUUAAAGGGCGCGUAGGCGGGACGUCAAGUCAGCGGUAAAAGACUGCAGCUAAACUGUAGCACGCCGUUGAAACUGUCGACCUGGAGACGAGACGAGGGAGGCGGAACAAGUGAAGUAGCGGUGAAAUGCAUAGAUAUCACUUGGAACCCCGAUAGCGAAGGCAGCUUCCCGGGCUCGAUCUGACGCUGAUGCGCGAGAGCGUGGGUAGCGAACAGGAUUAGAUACCCUGGUAGUCCACGCCGUAAACGAUGCUCACUGGAUCUUGGCGAUACACGGCCAGGGUUCAAGCGAAAGUAUUAAGUGAGCCACCUGGGGAGUACGUCGGCAACGAUGAAACUCAAAGGAAUUGACGGGGGCCCGCACAAGCGGAGGAACAUGUGGUUUAAUUCGAUGAUACGCGAGGAACCUUACCCGGGUUUAAAUGCAGGUUGCAUGAGGUGGAAACACCUCUUUCCCUCGGGACUACCUGCAAGGUGCUGCAUGGUUGUCGUCAGCUCGUGCCGUGAGGUGUCGGGUUAAGUCCCAUAACGAGCGCAACCCCUAUCGCCAGUUGCCAUCGGUUUCGGCCGGGCACUCUGUCGAGACUGCCACCGUAAGGUGCGAGGAAGGCGGGGAUGACGUCAAAUCAGCACGGCCCUUACACCCGGGGCGACACACGUGUUACAAUGGCCGGUACAGAGGGCAGCCACGGGGCGACCCGGAGCGAAUCUCUAAAGCCGGUCGUAGUUCGGACUGGAGUCUGCAACCCGACUCCACGAAGUUGGAUUCGCUAGUAAUCGCGCAUCAGC
rnacentral:rRNA from 1 species